UUCUGUAUUUCAGGAUGUUGGGACUUACUUUAGCGGAUUUGGAUAACUCGUUAACCCUAUUCAAUAAACCUCAACUUUGUAAAAGACGACGACAUGAACUCACCACAGAGCCUCUUAAACUCCUCACCGCCGUGUAUUCCAUAAUCCGCCAUGUAGAUUGGAUCUCAGACACGGCCAAGAAACCUGCAACAAAGGAGAAUUAUGAUGAACAGGGUGAAGCAGUGAACCUUGACUACGUCUCCAUCACUUAUUUAUAGUCUCAAAAAUUAGGGAGUUUAAGAGCUGCGGAGAAGGAGUCACUAAAUUGAACGUAGUGGGGGAGAUGGCCGUAGGGAGCAAAUGAAAACAAUUAAUGAAAGGUUUGAAUGAGGAUUACGAACGUUACAGAGGCGUUACAACAUCUGCGAUGCAAAAGACGGGAUUGAAGAAGACGAAGUCAUUGAAAGAGACAUGGGCUAUAAAUGGACUAUGUUUAUGUUAUAGAAGAGAAAGCUGACGUGUCCAAAAACGCCCCUUC